rnacentral:rRNA from 1 species
CAUGCAAGUCGAGGGGCAGCACGGUGUAGCAAUACAUUGGUGGCGACCGGCGCACGGGUGAGUAACGCGUAUGCAACCUACCUAUCAGAGGGGAAUAACCCGGCGAAAGUCGGACUAAUACCGCAUAAAACAGGGGUUCCACAUGGAAAUAUUUGUUAAAGAUUUAUCGCUGAUAGAUGGGCAUGCGUUCCAUUAGAUAGUUGGUGAGGUAACGGCUCACCAAGUCUACGAUGGAUAGGGGUUCUGAGAGGAAGGUCCCCCACACUGGUACUGAGACACGGACCAGACUCCUACGGGAGGCAGCAGUGAGGAAUAUUGGUCAAUGGGCGAGAGCCUGAACCAGCCAAGUCGCGUGAAGGAUGAAGGAUCUAUGGUUUGUAAACUUCUUUUAUAUGGGAAUAAAGUGAGGAACGUGUUCCUUUUUGUAUGUACCAUAUGAAUAAGCAUCGGCUAACUCCGUGCCAGCCGCCGCGGUAAUU